ACCAUGCAGUCGAACGGCAGCACGGAGCUUGCUCUGGUGGCGAGUGGCGAACGGGUGAGUAAUAUAUCGGAACGUACCCUAGAGUGGGGGAUAACGUAGCGAAAGUUACGCUAAUACCGCAUACGAUCUAAGGAUGAAAGUGGGGGAUCGCAAGACCUCAUGCUCGUGGAGCGGCCGAUAUCUGAUUAGCUAGUUGGUAGGGUAAAAGCCUACCAAGGCAUCGAUCAGUAGCUGGUCUGAGAGGACGACCAGCCACACUGGAACUGAGACACGGUCCAGACUCCUACGGGAGGCAGCAGUGGGGAAUUUUGGACAAUGGGCGAAAGCCUGAUCCAGCAAUGCCGCGUGAGUGAAGAAGGCCUUCGGGUUGUAAAGCUCUUUUGUCAGGGAAGAAACGGUGAGAGCUAAUAUCUCUUGCUAAUGACGGUACCUGAAGAAUAAGCACCGGCUAACUACGUGCCAGCAGCCGCGGUAAUACGUAGGGUGCAAGCGUUAAUCGGAAUUACUGGGCGUAAAGCGUGCGCAGGCGGUUUUGUAAGUCUGAUGUGAAAUCCCCGGGCUCAACCUGGGAAUUGCAUUGGAGACUGCAAGGCUAGAAUCUGGCAGAGGGGGGUAGAAUUCCACGUGUAGCAGUGAAAUGCGUAGAUAUGUGGAGGAACACCGAUGGCGAAGGCAGCCCCCUGGGUCAAGAUUGACGCUCAUGCACGAAAGCGUGGGGAGCAAACAGGAUUAGAUACCCUGGUAGUCCACGCCCUAAACGAUGUCUACUAGUUGUCGGGUCUUAAUUGACUUGGUAACGCAGCUAACGCGUGAAGUAGACCGCCUGGGGAGUACGGUCGCAAGAUUAAAACUCAAAGGAAUUGACGGGGACCCGCACAAGCGGUGGAUGAUGUGGAUUAAUUCGAUGCAACGCGAAAAACCUUACCUACCCUUGACAUGGCUGGAAUCCUCGAGAGAUUGGGGAGUGCUCGAAAGAGAACC
rnacentral:rRNA from 1 species